CCUAACACAUGCAAGUCGAACGGGAAGCGGUGCAUAUUGCUUCGGUGAUAAUGUGCCGUGGAGAGUGGCGAACGGGUGCGUAACACGUAGGUAACCUGCCCUGAAGGGGGGGAUAACCACGGGAAACUGUGGCUAAUACCGUAUAAUCUCGCCGUGGCGGUGGUUACGGUGAGGAAAGCUGAGGCGAUUUGGGAGGGGCCUGCGGUCGAUUAGCUGGUUGGUGGGGUAAAGGCCCACCAAGGCGAUGAUCGAUAGCUGUUCUGAGAGGAAGACCAGCCACACGGGAACUGAGACACGGUUCCGACUCCUACGGGGGGCAGCAGUGAGGAAUAUUGCGCAAUGGGGGGAACCCUGACGCAGCAACGCCGCGUGGAGGACGAAGGUUUUCGGAUUGUAAACUCCUUAACUGGGGGAAGAGAGAGGACGGUACCCCAGGACGAAGACACGGCUAACUAGGUGCCAGCAGCCGCGGUAAUACCUAGGUGUCGAGCGUUAUCCGGAAUUACUGGGCGUAAAGGGUGCGCAGGCGGUGUUACAAGUCCGGCGUGAAAGCUUCUGGCUUAACUGGGAGAGGACGUCGGAAACUGUAGUGUUAG
rnacentral:rRNA from 1 species